rnacentral:rRNA from 1 species
ACUACACAUAUGAAAGCGGGGUUGGGGACCUCACCUCGGUGAGGGCUCCAGCUUGUCUGAAUUAUUCACCCAUGUCUUUUGCGCACUUCUUGUUUCCUGGGCGGGUUCGCCCGCCACCAGGACCAAACCAUAAACCUUUUUGUAAUUGCAAUCAGCGUCAGUAAACAAUGUAAUUAUUACAACUUUCAACAACGGAUCUCUUGGUUCUGGCAUCGAUGAAGAACGCAGCGAAAUGCGAUACGUAGUGUGAAUUGCAGAAUUCAGUGAAUCAUCGAAUCUUUGAACGCACAUUGCGCCCUUUGGUAUUCCAAAGGGCAUGCCUGUUCGAGCGUCAUUUGUACCCUCAAGCUUUGCUUGGUGUUGGGCGUCUUUGUCUCUCACGAGACUCGCCUUAAAAUGAUUGGCAGCCGACCUACUGGUUUCGGAGCGCAGCACAAUUCUUGCACUUUGAAUCAGCCUUGGUUGAGCAUCCAUCAAGACCACAUUUUUUUCAACUUUUGACCUCGGAUCAGGUAGGGAUACCCGCUGAACUUAAGCAUAUAUU